rnacentral:rRNA from 1 species
GACAGAGGGUGCAAACGUUGUUCGGAAUUACUGGGCGUAAAGCGCGUGUAGGCGGCCAUCUAAGUCGGGCGUGAAAUCCCACGGCUCAACCGUGGAAGUGCACUCGAAACUGGAUGGCUAGAGUCCUGGAGAGGAAGGUGGAAUGCUUGGUGUAGAGGUGAAAUUCGUAGAUAUCAAGCGGAACACCGGUGGCGAAGGCGACCCGCUGGCCAGCGACUGACGCUGAGACGCGAAAGCGUGGGGAGCAAACAGG